rnacentral:rRNA from 1 species
UUGGAGGGCAAGUCUGGUGCCAGCAGCCGCGGUAAUUCCAGCUCCAAUAGCGUAUAUUAAAGUUGUUGUGGUUAAAAAGCUCGUAGUUGAACCUUGGGCCUGGCUGGCCGGUCCGCCUCACCGCGUGUACUGGUCCGGCCGGGCCUUUCCCUCUGUGGAACCCCAUGCCCUUCACUGGGUGUGGCGGGGAAACAGGACUUUUACUGUGAAAAAAUUAGAGUGCUCCAGGCAGGCCUAUGCUCGAAUACAUUAGCAUGGAAUAAUAGAAUAGGACGUGUGGUUCUAUUUUGUUGGUUUCUAGGACCGCCGUAAUGAUUAAUAGGGACAGUCGGGGGCAUCAGUAUUCAAUUGUCAGAGGUGAAAUUCUUGGAUUUAUUGAAGACUAACUACUGCGAAAGCAUUUGCCAAGGAUGUUUUCAUUAAUCAGGAACGAAAGUUAGGGGAUCGAAGACGAUCAGAUACCGUCGUAGUCUUAACCAUAAACUAUGCCGACUAGGGAUCGGAUGGUGUUAUUUUUUGACCCGUUCGGCGCCUUACGGGAAA